CAGCCGCCGCGGUAAUACGAAGGGGGCUAGCGUUGUUCGGAAUUACUGGGCGUAAAGCGCACGUAGGCGGACAUUUAAGUCAGGGGUGAAAUCCCGGGGCUCAACCCCGGAACUGCCUUUGAUACUGGGUGUCUAGAGUAUGGAAGAGGUGAGUGGAAUUCCGAGUGUAGAGGUGAAAUUCGUAGAUAUUCGGAGGAACACCAGUGGCGAAGGCGGCUCACUGGUCCAUUACUGACGCUGAGGUGCGAAAGCGUGGGGAGCAAACAGGAUUAGAUACCCCGGUAGUCCAUGUCUCUUAUAC
rnacentral:rRNA from 1 species